AUAUGCUUCAACAUUUAAUUGGGGCUAGCUUAUGGGUUAAGAGAUUCAGUCCAUUAUCAUCAAGGUGGGAGCAUGGUGGCAUCCAGGCAGUCAUGGUGCAGGCAGAGCUGAGAGUUCUAUGUCUUCAUCCAACAGCUGCUAGUGGAAGACUGCCUUCCAGGCACAUAGCUUGAGAGUAUUAAGCCCACACCCAACGUGACACACAUACUCCAAACAGGUCAUACCUAUUUUAACAAGGCCACACCUCCAAAUGGUGCCACUCUGUGGUCCAAGAAUAUACAGACCAUUACAAUAUUGCUUUAAAGAAUGUCUUCCCUGUUAAUAUUAAUGAUUCCAUUAUGGCUACAAGACCAGGAGGCAAAGGGGUGGCUAAUGUCUCAGUAAAAUGGUAAAUGCUGCAAACUUCAGGACAGCCCUUAGGGCUGUGGAAAAGACCUUUAAAGUCUUAG
rnacentral:lncRNA from 1 species